rnacentral:rRNA from 1 species
UGGGGAAUAUUGCACAAUGGGCGCAAGCCUGAUGCAGCCAUGCCGCGUGUGUGAAGAAGGCCUUCGGGUUGUAAAGCACUUUUGUCCGGAAAGAAAUCCUUGGCUCUAAUACAGUCGGGGGAUGACGGUACCGGAAGAAUAAGCACCGGCUAACUACGUGCCAGCAGCCGCGGUAAUACGUAGGGUGCAAGCGUUAAUCGGAAUUACUGGGCGUAAAGCGUGCGCAGGCGGUUUGCUAAGACCGAUGUGAAAUCCCCGGGCUCAACCUGGGAACUGCAUUGGUGACUGGCAGGCUAGAGUAUGGCAGAGGGGGGUAGAAUUCCACGUGUAGCAGUGAAAUGCGUAGAGAUGUGGAGGAAUACCGAUGGCGAAGGCAGCCCCCUGGGCCAAUACUGACGCUCAUGCACGAAAGCGUGGGGAGCAAACAGGAUUAGAUACCCUGGUAGUCCACGCCCUAAACGAUGUCAACUAGUUGUUGGGAUUCAUUUCCUUAGUAACGUAGCUAACGCGUGAAGUUGACCGCCUGGGGAGUACGGUCGCAAGAUUAAAAGCUCAAAUG